GAUGAACGCUGGCGGCGUGCCUAAUACAUGCAAGUCGAGCGAACGGACGAGAAGCUUGCUUCUCUAAUGUUAGCGGCGGAGGGGUGUGUAACACGUGGAUAACCUACCUAUAAUUCUGGGAUAACUUCGGGAAACCGUAGCUUAUACCGGAUAAUAUUUUGAACCGCAUGGGUCAAAAGUGAAAGACGGUCUUUCGGUCACUAAUAGCUGGAUCCGCGCUGCAUGAGCUGGUUGGUGAGGUAACGGGUUACCAAGGCAACGAGGCGUAGCCGACCGCACAGGGUGGUAGGCCACACUGGAGCUGGACCACGCACCAGACUCCUACGGGAGGCAGCAGUAGGGAAUCUUCCGCAGUGGGCGAGAGCCUGACGCAGCAACGCGGCGUGAGUGAUGAAGAUCUUCGGAGCGGAAAACUCGGUUAUUGGGGAAGAACAUAUGUGUAAGUAACUGAGCAGAUCUUGACGGUACCUAAUCAGAAAGCCACGGCUAACUACGUG
rnacentral:rRNA from 1 species